rnacentral:lncRNA from 1 species
UAUAAAAUUUUUAUAAAAUGAGUAUGUUUUUCUCUUGUUAAUUUUUGUUGGCUUAAUUUUCAGACCCAGCCAGCCACCCUAACAGGACUGAAGAAAGCUUUUUCUUUCCCUACAACUUCUUGGGCAACCCAUAGAAUACACUGAUUGGCCAGUACUGGAUCAUGUGACCACCAUUAAGGAAGUGAGGGUCAUCUUCAAGUAAACUCAAGGCCAAGAGGAGGAGCAGUUUCCUAAAAGAAAAGAUAAUUUACCUGGAAGGGGAUGAAUGAUGAAAGAUCAAAUUAACCAACAUCCAGAUGGUAAAGUAGUUAACUGCAAGUAAGAUCUGGCAUUGGGAGCCAUUUGGAAACCAUGAAGGAGUUAACCUGAAGAUCUGAAAGAAAGUCGACCUUGGUGCCACUCUCUGGCAAUAGUCCUUAUGAGAGCCUGGAAGAGGAAUACCAGAGAAUUUUGGGAAAUUCACGCAGGUCUAAGAUUCCAUCGAGCCUCAGGGCUGCUCCAGGAAGGGCUCCAUGUCCCAAUGGCUCUGGCUGUGUGUAUUUAUUACAGCUCUUUCAUUCAUUCAACAACAAUUUAUUAAGUCCUACCCUUCGCUGGUUCUGUUAAGUUCUGAGGAUUCUAGGAUAUGGAAGACACCAACAGUGGCCUCUCGAUA